CAGUAGCCGCGGUAAAACGAAGGGGGCUAGCGUUGUUCGGAAUCACUGGGCGUAAAGGGUGCGUAGGCGGGAUCUUAAGUCAGGGGUGAAAUCCCGAGGCUCAACCUCGGAACUGCCUUUGAUACUGGGGUCCUUGAGUCCGGAAGAGGUGAGUGGAACUGCGAGUGUAGAGGUGAAAUUCGUAGAUAUUCGCAAGAACACCGGUGGCGAAGGCGGCUCACUGGUCCGGAACUGACGCUGAGGCACGACAGCGUGGGGAGCAAACAGGAUUAGAUACCCCUGUAGUCCCUGUCUCUUAUAC
rnacentral:rRNA from 1 species